UUACGGUCAUAUCACAUUGAAACAUUGGUUCUCAUCCAAUUUCCAAAGUUAAGCAAUGCUGAACCUGGUCAAUACCUAGAUGGGUGACCACUUGGGAAUACCAG